AUUGAACGCUAGCGGGAUGCUUUACACAUGCAAGUCGAACGGCAGCGCGGACUUCGGUCUGGCGGCGAUUGGCGAACGGGUGAGUAAUGUAUCGGAACGUGCCCAGUAGCGGGGGAUAACUACGCGAAAGCGUAGCUAAUACCGCAUACGCCCUACGGGGGAAAGCAGGGGAUCGUAAGACCUUGCACUAUUGGAGCGGCCGAUAUCGGAUUAGCUAGUUGGUGAGGUAACGGCUCACCAAGGCGACGAUCCGUAGCUGGUUUGAGAGGACGACCAGCCACACUGUGACUGAGACACAGCCCAGACUCCUACGGGAGGCAGCAGUGGGGAAUUUUGGACAAUGGGGGCAACCCUGAUCCAGCCAUCCCGCGUGUGGGAUGAAGGCCUUAGGGUUGUAAAGCACUUUUGGCAGGAAAGAAACGUCGCGGGCUAAUACCCCGUGGAACUGACGGUACCUGCAGAAUAAGCACCGGCUAACUACGUG
rnacentral:rRNA from 1 species